rnacentral:rRNA from 1 species
AUGGCGGCUGCCACAACGGCGGCGACGACGGUGGCGGGGAAGCUCCCAUUCCCGCUGCUCACGAGGACGAACUACGCGGCGUGGGCGAUGAGGAUGAAGUACCUCUUGCGCGCCAACGGCGCGUGGGCUGCCGUUGAACGCGAGGACUCCUCCAAGGAGGUCGACGCAGGCAAGGAGGAGAUGGCCAUGACGAUCAUCUCCCAGUCGAUCGACAACACGACGCUGCUGCGAGUUACGGAGAAGGAGACCGCCGCCGAUGUGUGGGUGGCGCUUCGCUCCAUGCAUGUGGGCGUCAAGCGCGUCCGAGAGGCGAGGAUUCAGUCCUUGCGCUCGGAGUUUGAUGGCCUCAAGAUGGGUGAUGCGGAGUCCGUGGAUGAUUUCGCGGCGAGGUUCACGACGCUCGUGGGGCGCAUCCGUGAGCUUGGUGAUGCGAUGGAGGAGAAGUACGUCGUGAAGAAACUGCUCCGAGCCGUCUCCAACAAGUUCAUCCAG